rnacentral:rRNA from 1 species
GGAUUAGAUACCCUGGUAGUCCACGCCGUAAACGAUGUGUACUAGUUGUCGGGUUUAACUCGGUGACUGAGCUAACGUAUUAAGUACACCGCCUGGGGAGUACGGCCGCAAGGCUAAAACUCAAAGGAAUUGACGGGGACCCGCACAAGCGGUGGAGCAUGUUGCUUAAUCCGAUGAUACGCGAGGAACCUUACCCGCUCUUGACAUGUAUGUUGUGACUUCUGGAAACAGAUAUCUUUGGUUCGCCCAGGCAUACACAGGUGUUGCAUGGCUGUCGUCAGCUCGUGCCG